rnacentral:rRNA from 11 species
GCGACCGAUAGUGAACCAGUACCGUGAGGGAAAGGUGAAAAGCACCCCGACAAGGGGAGUGAAACAGAUCCUGAAACCGGAUGCCUACAAACAGUUGGAGGGCGCAAGCCUGACAGCGUACCUUUUGUAUAAUGGGUCAGCGACUUAAUUUAACGAGCAAGCUUAAGCCGAUAGGUGUAGGCGUAGCGAAAGCGAGUCUGAACAGGGCGUUUUAGUUCGUUGGAUUAGACCCGAAACCGAGUGAUCUAGCCAUGGCCAGGUUGAAGGUGCGGUAACACGCACUGGAGGACCGAACCCACGCCUGUUGAAAAAGUCGGGGAUGAGCUGUGGCUAGGGGUGAAAGGCCAAUCAAACUCGGAAAUAGCUGGUUCUCCGCGAAAUCUAUUUAGGUAGAGCGUCGGAUGAAUACUCUCGGGGGUAGAGCACUGGAUGGGCUAUGGGGGCUUACCGCCUUACUGAUCCUAACCAAACUCCGAAUACCGAGAAGUACUAUCCGGCAGACACACAGUGGGUGCUAACGUCCAUUGUGGAGAGGGAAACAACCCUGACCGCCAGUUAAGGUCCCUAAGUUAUGGCUAAGUGGGAAAGGAUGUAGGACUCCCAAAACAACCAGGAUGUUGGCUUAGAAGCAGCCAUCAUUUAAAGAAAGCGUAACAGCUCACUGGUCAAGCGCUCCUGCGCGGAAAAUGUAACGGGGCUUAAGUGAUACACCGAAGCUGCGGAUUCGAUCUUUGAUCGAGUGGUAGCGGAGCGUUCCGUAGGCCGAUGAAGGCAGACCCGCGAGGGCUGCUGGAGGUAUCGGAAGUGAGAAUGCUGACAUGAGUAGCGACAAAGAGGGUGAGAGACCCUCUCGCCGAAAGUCCAAGGGUUCCUGCGCAACGCUAAUCGGCGCAGGGUUAGCCGGCCCCUAAGGCGAGGCCGAAAGGCGUAGUCGAUGGGAAAUCGGUUAAUAUUCCGAUACUUGUUUAUGAUGCGAUGGAGGGACGGAGAAGGUUAUGCCAGCUUGGCGAUGGUUGUCCAAGUGGAAGGAUGUAGUUAGGUUUAGUAGGCAAAUCCGCUAGACUAUUAAUGAGAUCUGAUAGCAAGCUGUACUUGUACAGCGAAGUGGCAAAUACCCUGCUUCCAGGAAAAGCUUCUAAACUUAUGAUUAUAUGAACCGUACCCCAAACCGACACAGGUGGUCAGGUAGAGAAUACCAAGGCGCUUGAGAGAACUCGGGUAAAGGAACUAGGCAAAAUGGUGCCGUAACUUCGGGAGAAGGCACGCUGGUGGUAAGUGAAAUCCCUGCGGGUGGAGCUGAAGCCAGUCGAAGAUACCAGGCCCCUGCGACUGUUUAUUAAAAACACAGCACUGUGCAAACA